UACGUAGGGUGCAAGCGUUGUCCGGAUUUAUUGGGUUUAAAGGGUGCGCAGGCGGCCUGUUAAGUCAGCGUUUAAAGGCAGCCGCUCAACGGAUGAAGUGGCGCUGAUACUGACGGGUUUGAAUGUGGUUGAGGUUGGCGGAAUUUAGGGUGUAGCGGUGAAAUGCAUAGAUACCCUAAGGAACACCGAUAGCGAAGGCAGCUAACCAAGCCAUGAUUGACGCUCAUGCACGAAAGCGUUGGGAGCAAACAGG
rnacentral:rRNA from 1 species